GGAAUAUUGGACAAUGGGCGCAAGCCUGAUCCAGCAAUGCCGCGUGAGUGAUGAAGGCCUUAGGGUUGUAAAGCUCUUUUACCCGAGAUGAUAAUGACAGUAUCGGGAGAAUAAGCCCCGGCUAACUCCGUGCCAGCAGCCGCGGUAAUACGGAGGGGGCUAGCGUUGUUCGGAAUUACUGGGCGUAAAGCGCACGUAGGCGGCGAUUUAAGUCAGGGGUGAAAGCCCAGUGCUCAACACUGGAACUGCC
rnacentral:rRNA from 1 species